AGUCCAGCAGCCUUUAGUGCAAGCACAGGCUGUGCAGCCACUGCUGCUAUCCUAGAACAUUUCAUCAUCCCAGUGAAACAGUUCCUGGCUUCCCACAAGGACCCUGGCUAACUCCCAUUCCACUUUCCAUCUCUAGCCUGGGGGCUGACGGGAAAAAAGGAAUGAGGCACCAACAUAAGCACAACAACCUGGUGGGCGCUGAAGAUAUGACGCUGAGGGACAAAGAAGCCAGAUACAAAAGGUCACACAUUAUGUGAUUCUGUUUAAGGAAGAUGUCCAGAAUAGGUGACAAUGGAAACAAAAAGCCCUUUCAUUGUUGCCAGGGGGCUGGAGCAAAACGGAGACUGCCAAUGGGUGUGGGGUUCCCCUUUUAAAGGAUAGAGUGUUCUGCGAUGAGGAAGAGGGUGGACGCGCGUCACUGUGGAUAUGCUAAAUGUCGCCUUGUGCACUUUAAAAGAGUUUACUUUUUCACAAUCUGAAUGCCACCAUGCUUCACCACAUGAAUUUCCCCAGAAAAAUGUAAAGAGACAUGUAUUCUCCCCACACUGAGAGGGGGCCAAAGGAAGGAUUUCACACAAUCCAGCUUGGUGAACCAAUGUGGUCUUUUGGGUUACUUACAAGGUUGUGGAUGACUCAAAGGCAGCUACACCAGUGAGAAGUUCAUCAGACAACAAUACUGCUGAAGAGUCACAUCUGCUGCAUGGACAGAGCACAGAAAGAUGCACCCCUGGAGAGUCUCACUGGGCCACAGAGCACAAACUACCGAAGAAAUUACCUCCGAAUGAGGGGCCUGUGAGGAUCCCUUGAAGUAAACACCAGCAGCAGUACACCCAUGGGCCUCCCGACUCCAGGAAUGUGAAUAGGUCCAAUCUCAGAAAGAUCUUGCAUUAGGACCACAGCCAGUGAUCAAGUCCAAUCAGAGAGUGUAGCAAUGCAAAACACCUGAGUUAAAGAGAAGCCCGCACUCAGCUGCACUUUCCUGUGUUUGGAAGCCCCCGCUGUCUCUCUUGUUUUCUCCCAGCCCCUUUCUUGAGCUCUACACACUUCCACCUAUGUAGGAGCCCACUCUAUCUUCUCCUCCAGGGGCUUGGAUCUUCAGUUUUCCAGUGCUAUCAAGAUAUAGGGGGAAAGGAGGAAGCUGGGGAAUCUACAACAGGGGAGAACAGGUGGGUCCAGGCCUGAGACCCUAGGACUCUUCUCCAAGUUCAAAACCAGCACAGGCACUCUGGGAACUCCAAGAGAAAUGUAUCAGCCUGUCCUAUCUGACUAGACUCUUAGGCCCCAGCAACGUAAGAGUGACUUCGGAUGAUCAGAGAAGCCUCAAAUAGGGUCUCAGCACCCUAAGCAGGUUCUGCUGCUCUGAACACACUCUUGGACAUCAAGGGAUACACCCGACUACUGCCAAGGGGACCUGUCUUGGUUUGCUUUCUGUUACUGUGAUAAAUACCACAACUUGGGGAGUGUGGUGGUUUGAAUAAGUAUGCCCCCAUAGGCUCAUAUUUGAAUGCUUUAUCACCAGGAAGUGCACUGUCUGAAAGGAUUAGAAGGAUCCUUAUUGGAGGCAGUGUACAGCUGGGAGUGGGCAUUUGAAUGUUAAACCCAGAGUCUUUCUCUGUGUGUGUGUCUAUGGAUCAGGAUGUAGCUCCAGCGCCUGCCUGCAUGCCUCCAUGCUCUUGCACCAUGACGAGCAGUAGACUAAAUCUCUGAAACUGUAAGAAAGCCUCUAAUUAAAUGCUUUCUCUUAUAACAGUUA